rnacentral:rRNA from 1 species
GAUGAACGCUGGCGGCGUGCUUAACACAUGCAAGUCGAACGAAAAGGCCCUGCUUUUGCUGGGUUCACGAUUGGCGAACGGGUGAGUAACACGCGAGUAAACCGCCCUUGACUUUCGGAUAACUUCAGGAAACUGGGGCUAAUACCCGGUAGAAGCUCCUGCUGCAUGGUGGGGGUUGGAAAGUUUCGGCGGUUGGGGAUGGACUCGCGGCUUAUCAGCUUGUUGGUGGGGUAGUGGCUUACCAAGGCUUUGACGGGUAGCCGGCCUGAGAGGGUGACCGGCCACAUUGGGACUGAGAUACGGCCCAGACUCCUACGGGAGGCAGCAGUGGGGAAUAUUGCACAAUGGGCGGAAGCCUGAUGCAGCAACGCCGCGUGCGGGAUGACGGCCUUCGGGUUGUAAACCGCUUUCGCCUGUGACGAAGCGUGAGUGACGGUAAUGGGUAAAGAAGCACCGGCUAACUACGUG